UACGUAGGGUGCGAGCGUUGCCCGGAUUUAUUGGGCGUAAAGGGCGCGUAGGCGGCUCUGCACGUCCGUUGUGAAAUCGCCCGGCUCAACUGGGCGGGGUCAGCGGAUACGGCGGAGCUCGAGCAAGCUAGGGGGCAAUGGAAUUCCCGGUGUAGUGGUGGAAUGCGUAGAUAUCGGGAGGAACACCAAUUGCGAAGGCAGCUCGCUGGGACGUUACUGACGCUGAGACGCGAAAGCGUGGGGAGCAAACAGG
rnacentral:rRNA from 1 species